AACGUAGGUGGCAAGCGUUAUCCGGAUUUACUGGGUGUAAAGCGUGUGCAGGCGGUCGUGUAAGUAGCGCGUGAAAGCGCCCGGCUUAACCGGGCGAGGACGUGCUGUACUGCACGACUGGAGAUGGGUAGAGGCGAGUGGAAUUCCGGGUGUAGUGGUGAAAUGCGUAGAUAUCCGGAGGAACACCUGAGGCGAAGGCGACUCGCUGGGCCCGUUCUGACGCUCAGACACGACAGCAUGGGGAGCGAACGGG
rnacentral:rRNA from 1 species